AGUGUGUAACAACUCACCUGCCGAAUGAAUUAGCCCUGAAAAUGGAUGGCGCUGAAGCGGGCAGCCGACACCGCGUCGUCUGACCAAUGUGGAUAUCAGAUGAGUAGGAGGACGUGGCGGUCGUAUCGAAGCGUACGUGCAAGCGUGCGUGGAACGGCCGCUAGUGCAGAUCUUGGUGGUAGUAGCAAAUAUUCAAACGUGAACCUUGAAGGGCGAAGUGGGGAAGGGUUCCACGCGAACAUUGAUUGAGCGUGGGUAAGUCGUUCCUAAGCCGAGUGGCAAUAGCUAAUUAUUGAGCGAAAGGGAAGCAGGUUGAUAUUCCUGCACACGGAUGUGGAUGCGGUGACGCACUACUGAGGCGAUGACGUCGGCGAUGGAGCUAGGCAGAGUUUUCUUUUCUGUUUAACCGAACCUAGCACUCUGUGUGGAAUCCGCUUGUCGGGAGAAACACGAGUGUUUGGGCAGAGCGCUGGGAUUUUUCCAGCGUCUAGCUCUCCAUCGACGGCCCUUGAAAAAUCGUCUGCUGGCCAAACCAUUUUUUUGUGUUUGGUGUGAAAACUCCACGCCGUAACGUACCCAUAACCGCAUCAGGUCCCCAAGGUGAACAGCCUCUGCUCGAUAUGGAAAAUGCAG
rnacentral:rRNA from 1 species